rnacentral:lncRNA from 1 species
UUCUCUAUGCAGUAUAUGAAUACUCUUCCUUGAACAUCAGGUUGGAGAGAUCUGUGGUUCAAUUCCCUCAUCUACAGAACAGAAAACCCAAAUAAGCAGACUCUAGGAUGGGGCCAGUGGGAGUAUCUGAGCAAGAGUCUUGGGCUACCUGUUAGCCAUAGCUAAAAAAGACGCUUCCAGGCCAGACAAUGUUCGAUUUACCUGGCUUAUCGUUUCUCCUGAGAUUCUUGUGGGGUAUUAGUGAUGUCCAGCCACGACCUCAACACAGUUGCCUAAGUUUGGCCAAAGCUCGUGGACCAAAAUUGCACAUCUGACUCUGGGUGUCUACCCAGAAGGCAGUGCAGCAACUGCCCUGGCAUCUUCACAGCCCACGAUCCUGCCGAAACUGUACCUAGGCCACAACAACUGAUGUGGCUCUUCUUCAGCUCUGGGACUGACAUAUUUUACCAGCAUUAACUUCGAUCUGUUUUCUUUCUCCCCACUUUUCCGGCCCAAUUCACGGGGAUUACGUAUCUUAACAAAAAUAAAUGUCAGAUUUAGUUAUUC